UACGUAGGGUGCGAGCGUUGUCCGGAUUUAUUGGGCGUAAAGAGCUCGUAGGCGGUCUGUCGCGUCGGAUGUGAAAACCCAGGGCUCAACCCUGGGCCUGCAUUCGAUACGGGCAGACUAGAGUACGGCAGGGGAGACUGGAAUUCCUGGUGUAGCGGUGAAAUGCGCAGAGAUCCGGAGGAACACCGAAAGCGAAGGCAGUCUCCUGGCAAGUUUCUGACGCUCAGGUGCGAAAGCUAGGGGAGCGAACAGG
rnacentral:rRNA from 1 species